GGUUGGGACCCAGUGACAAUGCAAACCAACCAGCGGUAAAUGUACGAAGGCACGUACGCAUAAAAACGGGCGCUGAAACGUGCGUAGCGUACGGGUGCUUCUACACUGAGUUGGAAAAAACACUUGGCGUGAGAAUCUGCGUAGGCUACGCUAUGUUUAGUUUGUGUGGUAUGUCCGGAAGGCGAAGAGAGGUAGUGCUUGCAUAACAAAAUGACAGCUUGACAGAGCGUGGAAGACAGCUAACGUACACCAUGUGACUUUAACACUGGCCCGAUGUGCUUUUUGCCACCCGUUUUAAGUUGCACUAUUUGCUAAAGCCACCAAACCAGACGCAUCCCAGGUAAUGAAUUCAGUACUAGUUUCUGGCUAGAGGGGAGCUGUUGGGAAAUCAAUUAGCCUACAUCAAAGGCUGUUAAAAAAAAAUCCACAUGGAAAAUGUUGCUAACCACUAGAUCCCCAUCAAGUCAGUAAUCAGAAGCCUGCUUCAUCACCAACAGCGUUUCAUUCAUCUUGGCAAAUGGGGCCAAACUGUCUGGGUUUUUAUUGACGUCAACUUCAGUUUCUUCUUCUGCCAUCAAAGAGAUCCGUGCCUCCAAAGUAUGAGACCCAGCUGCCUGUGCUCAGUUUUAUAUUCCUGAAGAGAACGUCAAACGGCAUCUCCUCGCUUCUCUCUCUGG